CAAUCUGACUGAGUGCACACACGAGCUCAAGGCUCCCCACAAGCAGUAGGCCUACAAAUACUGAUAAAUGGAUAGUCUUGUGCCUCUUUUCUUGCAAGUUGUAUUUUUUCAAGUCACUGGCCAUGGUGUCAUUCGUGGUGGAAGAAUUUAAACUGUUAGGAGCUACGCAAGAUCCAUUGAAGUACCACUGUAGAUUGAAGGAUUGGGGAUAAAUCCUUCCAGAAAAAUAAAAGGUACUGUUGCCUGGAGAAUUACAGAUGAGAGGACCUUUGAAGAGAGCCUGCAAGGAUACCAGCACGCAGAACACAGCACCAAGUAUUGUGAUUAUAUUCAGAAAUGAUGAAAGAAACAUCUGAAAAAUAAGCUCAAUAUGUAGGUGAACCAGAGAGAUGAAAGUUCAGGAUGUCUAAAUAUCUAAGCACAGGAGUGAUCCCACCCCCUGCAGCACCUGCCAGGAGGCCGGGCCGCCUAGCAGCAGCAUUGCUUCUGACAACAGCACUUACACUGGCAGCACUUCUGCUGACAACAGCCCUUCCCACAGCCACAGCCACAGCCACAGGAGCCGCAGCCACAGGAGCCACAGCCACAGGAGCGGCGGCAGCAACAGACCACGGGGACACUGCAGCAGCCCCCACAGCAGCCACAGCAGCAGGGGCAGCAGCUGGAGCAGCAGCCGACCCGGUAGCAUCUGCAGGUGGUGCAGCCACCACAGCCGCCACCACAACCACCACAGCCACCACAGCCGCCACAGCCGC